rnacentral:rRNA from 1 species
ACGCACGCUGGCGGCGUGCCUAAUACAUGCAAGUCGAACGCUUCUUUCCUCCCGAGUGCUUGCACUCAAUUGGAAAGAGGAGUGGCGGACGGGUGAGUAACACGUGGGUAACCUACCCAUCAGAGGGGGAUAACACUUGGAAACAGGUGCUAAUACCGCAUAACAGUUUAUGCCGCAUGGCAUAAGAGUGAAAGGCGCUUUCGGGUGUCGCUGAUGGAUGGACCCGCGGUGCAUUAGCUAGUUGGUGAGGUAACGGCUCACCAAGGCCACGAUGCAUAGCCGGCCUGAGAGGGUGAUCAGCCACACUGGGACUGAGACACGGCCCAGACUCCUACGGGAGGCAGCAGUAGGGAAUCUUCGGCAAUGGGCGAAAGUCUGACCGAGCAACGCCGCGUGAGUGAAGAAGGUUUUCGGAUCGUAAAACUCUGUUGUUAGAGAAGAACAAGGACGUUAGUAACUGAACGUCCCCUGACGGUAUCUAACCAGAAAGCCACGGCUAACUACGUG